rnacentral:rRNA from 1 species
UGGGGAAUUUUGGACAAUGGGCGAAAGCCUGAUCCAGCAAUGCCGCGUGUGUGAAGAAGGCCUUCGGGUUGUAAAGCACUUUUGUCCGGAAAGAAAUCCUUGGCUCUAAUACAGUCGGGGGAUGACGGUACCGGAAGAAUAAGCACCGGCUAACUACGUGCCAGCAGCCGCGGUAAUACGUAGGGUGCAAGCGUUAAUCGGAAUUACUGGGCGUAAAGCGUGCGCAGGCGGUUUGCUAAGACCGAUGUGAAAUCCCCGGGCUCAACCUGGGAACUGCAUUGGUGACUGGCAGGCUAGAGUAUGGCAGAGGGGGGUAGAAUUCCACGUGUAGCAGUGAAAUGCGUAGAGAUGUGGAGGAAUACCGAUGGCGAAGGCAGCCCCCUGGCAAGUACUGACGCUCACGCACGAAAGCGUGGGGAGCAAACAGGAUUAGAUACCCUGGUAGUCCACGCCCUAAACGAUGUCAACUAGUUGUUGGGAUUCAUUUCCUUAGUAACGUAGCUAACGCGUGAAGUUGACCGCCUGGGGAGUACGGUCGCAAGAUUAAAACUCAAAGGAAUUGACGGGGUCAUAGCUGUUUCCU